AUAAUAUAUAAUAUAUAUAAUGUAUAUAGAAGUACUUUACAGCAAAUAUCGUUUCACGAGUAGUACAGAUUUAAAAUUUUAAUAAAACUCGUUUUUGAACAACCCAAAAAUUUAAAAAAUUAUUAUAUACAACUUUGUUUUGAAAACAUAUUCUCCAUUUUGAAGUACGAAAAAAAUCAUAUGACGGGUGAUUUUAAAACCAAUCGAAAUCAUUCUAAUACACGGUUAUACCCUAUACCGGGUAGAGGUUUGGAAUAUGAACUAAAACAUUUUCU